GGCCACGUAGCCAAGUGGUAGGCAGGAGUCUGCAAAACUCCUAUCCGGCGGUUCGAUUCCGCCCGUGGCCUCCA
rnacentral:tRNA from 1 species